rfam:Picea glauca, whole genome shotgun sequence.
GCGCCCAUAGUUCAUUGGAUAUAAUGUUCGACUUCGGAUCAAAAGUUCGUGGGUUCAAAUCCUUCUUUUCGCA